rnacentral:misc_RNA from 1 species
CUUCCAUGUGCGUCUGUCUCUUCCUUUGCCGUUGCGUGUCUGCGCAGACGUCCUUUUCCCACCAAAACGAACAUAUAAGAAGCCUGCCGCAGCUGUCGUGGCCAUCCUUGACGUUGCACUCGGCACCACUCGACCUCUGCCAAUCGCGUGCAUAAUCCUGACAUCGCACUCGUCACGCGCUCUUCGCCGACACCGCCCCUCUUUUUUGAUCUCAGGAACGCAGGACGACAAAAUUCGGGUACAUCCUCUGCUCUACCGCUGCUCCUCUUACCAUCCAGAGCGAAACACAUCAACAGUAGCCUCCACCUACUUUCCUACCUCUUCCGUUUCGCAAGCGCAGCACCGCACACACUGUCGUUUCCGCUGCGCAGUAGACAACGACGGUGAGGCAAGAGGGACGGCCGAACACACACACACACACACACACCAGAGCACAUCAGAACAUGUCACUGGAGACGUGGGCGGUGGCCGCUGUCGCAAUCGUCGACGUGGAGGGGACGCCGCUGCUGCUGCGCACCUACACGUCGCCAAAGGACGUGCUCAACUCUCCCGCAGCCCCGCUGCACGCGCAUCUCUACGUUGGACCUGAGGACGUGAUCAAGCUGCACUUUGUCCUCUUCGCUUCCCUGGACCGCUGUGAGGACAUGCGCGAAAUGGCGGCGCUGCCGUCGACUGGCGCUGCGGCGCCCUCGUCAGCGGCGCUCGUGGGGGGCGGCACCGAGGCCUCCCUCGUUUCUAACAAGAGCGGUGAGUCGUCUAUUACCGAGGUGGGGGGUGUGGUGGCCGGCGCCACGCCAGCCACAGCCUCCAUGGCGAACGCGCCAGCAGCGAACACGGCGCGGCUCAUCUCUCCGACGACGGACGCAAGGUUUUUGGGAAAGCUGCUGGAGAGCCACCGCUUGCGAAGCUACGGCUUUCGCUCUGCCACUGGCAUCCAUACGCUACUGGUGACCGUAGGCAGUGAUGCACCGGCGGAUGCGAUGGUGCCACUUUGCCGCGCCUUGUACGAGUGCGCCUCGGCGGCGCUGUGCAAUCCGUUUCGAUCUCCAGCUCAGUGCUGGCGCGCUCAGGAGCAGCUGUUGUGGCGAGCGCCGUCGUCUGCGCUUGGGGGCGAGACGGCCGGCGCGGCGACAUCGCAGCUUGCGGAGGGGGCGGAAGGCAAAUAUGAAAGCCAGAGAUUCCCUCCCUGCACGCAAGGCAGGGAUGCUGCGGAUGCCGCAAGGUGGACCUCCGUUCUAUCCGGAGCGAUGGAGUGGAGCUGGCCGCGACCGGCCCCAACCUCCGCCGCCGCUCUCACUGCGGAGCCAACACUGGCGCUGUCGCGCACCUUCAAUACACAGCUUGAGAAGCUGCUGUCAAGCUUCACCGUAACGGCACGGAGCUGCAUCGUUCGGUGAGUCGCUAGAUGCAUCGCAGGUGAUCUCAAUCUCUGUCACGUGGCUUCCCUUUCAGCCUUUACAGUUCUUUUCGUUUUUGCCUGGCUCGAUCUUCGAGUUGUUCGAGGUGGAAGGGGGAGAGGUGGGCACGGCGUGACGGGCGAGAGAAGCCGCGAACCCCCAUCCUUGUUGUGGUGUGCACGUGCUGUUGGGCGGAAAGGUGGUGGAUGGCAGAGUCGGUGAGGGCCCACUGCUUCUUGUGCGUGUGCAUGCCCUGUCUUCCCAUGCCAUGCUGCUUGUGUCUCUGUCACCGGCGCAAGUAACCUGUUAAGAU